GAAUCUAGAAGUUCUACAGUAUUGUUAGGCUCCUCACAGCAACACAAAGCGAACCAUGACAACAAGUCUGAUGCUGCUUCACCUUCAAUGUUUCUCACCUACUUACAGAUUUUAAACACUACAGGUUUUUUGCUGUGGUUAUCAGUGCCCGUUUCUUAUACAAAAGAAAGUGAACUGUGCUCUUGAGGUGCUGGGAUCUGACAGACACAAUCACAGCAGAAGGGCCCUAGAUCAUUGAACCUUUCAGCGAAUGUCACCUAGCUUCACUUCUCUCCUUCCGUUAAGUGCGUCACUUCAGUGGCUGUCCUGGCCUAGGAAGGGGAUCAGCCGUGGCCAAGCAGGACCCGUACUGGAACCCUGCAGAGAUGCUGAGCACCAUGAAGGCUUCAGGGAUAUUUCACUGCAGCCCCAUCCAUGUUACUGCAAAGGACGUGAUCUUAUUCUUAUUCAUGGCUGAGUAGUAUUCCAUGUUUACCUCAAUAAAGCUGGAAAAUGUCAUGUAACACCCAAUGUUGUGCUAUACUUGAAAAACCAUAGAGUUAAAAGUGAUUGCAUGAACAGGAUAAAACUUAAAUGGAAAUUAAUAUCUGACCAUGGACUUGAAGGAUUAUAAGAGUUUACAAUUUGGGAACGCAGGAAGAGAAAGACAGAUGGAAGAACAAGCACAGAGUAAAUGAAGAAAAAUAUAACCCACAUUAACAAAAGUUCUUUGAAGUUCUCAAUAAUUCUUAGGGGUAUAGAAGAUUCCUGAGAUCAAAAAGUUUGAGAAUUGUU
rnacentral:lncRNA from 1 species